UGUUCCUAACAUACCACUGCAUGACCCAAAGUGCAUCACACAGCCAUUGCCCAGCACAGUGUCCCAAGUGCAUCCCAGCACCCAUGUUACAAAGGGCAUUGCCACACAGCGCACAGCUGCAUUCUGGAGGCAAACUAUUUUUUAUUGGCUUUAAAUGAUUUCUUAACAUGUGAUCUGCUGUUUCAUAGGUGUCCUCUUGCCAUCUGAGUACAUAGGUGAGAACAACAGACUGAGAGAUAAUUAUGUUACCAGUGCUAAAAAUGACUGUUCUCAACCAAUUCCAAGCAGCACAUGGAUCAUUAAUUUCAUUCAUCUUUAGCAAAGAACUCUGUCCUGACUGUUGGAAAAACUAUAUAAAGCAAUGAAAGUGCAGUAGUAAGAGGAGCAGAUACAGUGGCUGUACCAGGUACAGCGAGAGAAUAUUUUGUCUACAGAAGCUCCUGUUGAACCCUUGUUUGCCUAUGGAAUGGAACCCAGUGACGGUGGCGCUUUGACAUUUACACUUUUCUUCUGUAAAUACCCUCGAGGCAGUGAAACAGCAAUGCUAAGGCUAAUGCCACAUUGGGUGGAUUCUCAGCAGUUUCGCAUCAAAUUUCGCUUAGUGUGGCUGCAGUCAGGCCCAUGCAAUGUCUCAGGGUGCCGACGCAACUAUCAGAUAUUUCCAGCGUAGGGGCAGAUUCUUGGCCUGCCGGUGUGGCACUAGCAUUACACUGAGUUUCUGGAAAGCUACAAUGCAUGUAUUAAUGGCUUUAUAUACAGUGUAAAGAGUUUUAUUC